AAAUCCUACGGGAGGCAGCAGUGGGGGAUAUUGCACAAUGGGGGGAACCCUGAUGCAGCGACGCCGCGUGGGUGAAGGAGCGCCUCGGCGCGUAAAGGCCUAUCGGCAGGGAAGAAGGAGGACGGUACCUGACUAAGAAGCCCCGGCUAACUACGUGCCAGCAGCCGCGGUAAUACGUAGGGGGCCAGCGUUAUCCGGAUUUGCUGGGUGUAAAGGGGGCGCAGACGGCAGCGCAAGCCAGG
rnacentral:rRNA from 1 species